CGGGGCGUAGCGCAGCCCGGUAGCGCACCUGCUUUGGGAGCAGGGGGUCGCUGGUUCGAAUCCAGUCGCCCCGACCA
rnacentral:tRNA from 1 species